rnacentral:rRNA from 1 species
CAGUAGCCACGGGAAUACGUAGGGUGCAAGCGUUAAUCGGAAUUACUGGGCGUAAAGCGUGCGCAGGCGGUUUGUUAAGACAGAUGUGAAAUCCCCGGGCUCAACCUGGGAACUGCAUUUGUGACUGGCAAGCUAGAGUGUGGCAGAGGGGGGUGGAAUUCCGCGUGUAGCAGUGAAAUGCGUAGAUAUGCGGAGGAACACCGAUGGCGAAGGCAGCCCCCUGGGCCAACACUGACGCUCAUGCACGAAAGCGUGGGGAGCAAACAGGAUUAGAUACCCGCGUAGUCCCUGUCUCUUAUAC